AGCCACAGAGCGAAAUUGGUGCAACUUUCGGUGAUCUUCAUCCUAUUGAGCUCGAAUGUCCCUAGGGGCCAACGUCUAAUUAAUUUUAAUUAGGGUGAUAGCUAUGUGAGAAUUGAUUCACCUAAUUUGGGCAAGAAUCUGGUGAUGAAAUCCAGUUCUUAUCUUGUUGGGGUGAUUGCCCUUACUAUGUGCGGAUUAAUUGGUGUAUGUGUAUCAAGCAUGCAUUCACACUUUUGCUGAAUUUAAAAUCAAACAAUCACCACACAAGGAAAUUUAAAUAAGAAAGGUUUAGAGGUUACCAAAGGGAAUUUUUCCAGCAAUUUUUAAAGCAAACCUUUACAGCAUUCCUUUGCCAAUAGUUCCCUUUCUGAAUGUCCCAAACUUCCUCUUUGGUUCCUGAUCAAAUGAUACCAAGAAAAAUCAAAAAUUAGUAAGAGAGGAGAAGGAGAUAAGGAAAGUAAA
rnacentral:lncRNA from 1 species